CAUGCAAUAAAGCUGCAUCAAGAUGCCCUGUUCAUGGAAUGGGAAAUCAUUAAUUUUCUUUGACAAGAAUUUGUUCUUCCCUUUCCUGAUUUAAGUGUGAUAUAUUUGAAACCAUUCCAAUUAGAAUAAAACAAAGUUACAUAAAUUGAAGUGGAGAAAACUUUGCGGAAUGACUCCAGACUAAAGCUUUCAGUCUUCUCUCAAGCAUGGAAGAAAAAGGAAAGCGCCAUACCUAAUGUUUAUACCAACACAUUUUACUGGAAAGUUAUGAGGCCAUACUUUGAACAUGACUGUGAAGAAGGGCUAUAGACUUGCCUAUAAACAUAGCACUGAACUGCUAUUCAUUAAAAUAGCCCUCUCCUCCCCUUUUCAGGCUUCUGUGUGAAUCCACAAAAAGAAAGAGACUAACUGCUUUAGCCUGAGACUUCAAGUAUCUUCAACCUUUUAUUUUAUUUUUUGGUUUCACACAACCUUAACACCUUGAAGAGAAGUAUUGUGGUUGCAGUCGCUUGAGCUUAGUAGCACUUCUUUCAAAUCAUUUUGGAAAUAUGUGCCUUCCCAAAAGCUAUGAUGACUACAUCUGACCUUGGUGAUUUAUCCUGUUUUGAACCAUAAUCCUGUGUCGGAGGUGUUCCUGUCUGCCUACUUACCUUCCUAACUUUGAAAGUACAAAGUUUUUCUUUUAGCUUCUUUCUUCAACAUCAGAUAACUUUCUUUUAUACUCCUUGAACUGCAAUUUAAAUACUAUAACCCAAGCUGCCCUAUGAUGAUAAAUAAGAAUUCUGAACUUUAUGCUUUGGAGUAACCAUUUUACAGAUUCUACAGGAACUCUCCUCUCCCCAAGCUCUCCAAAUGGAGGAAAGUAUGACGGCCUCUGAGAAAUAGAAUGACAGGAAUGUCUACAAUAUUUGUUGAAACCCAACUGUCAAAAUUCAAGCUACUCAAAAAAAUUUCCAAAACAAUUCAAUAGUACUUAUCAUUUGUUAAGUAUGCAAUUUUGAAAUUAAAAAAAAGUUUUCUGUUCA